rnacentral:rRNA from 1 species
CCCUUAGAUGUUCUGGGCCGCACGCGUGCUACACUGAGUGGAUCAGCGGGUCAGGUUGCGCGAAAGCGUUUCCUAAUCUUUAAAUCCGCUCGUGAUGGGGAUUGACGGUUGCAAUUUUCUGUCAUGAACGAGGAAUACCUUGUAAGCGCGGGUCAUCAUCCCGCGCUGAAUACGUCCCUGCCCUUUGUACACACCGCCCGUCGCUCCUACCGAUUGAGUGGUCCUGUGAAUUAUUCGGACCGGUGGACUGUGGGGAAACCCGCGGCCUGCUGGGAAGUCUUGUGAACCUUAUCACUUAGAGGAAGCAGAAGUCGUAACA